rnacentral:rRNA from 1 species
CGAGGUGGAGCGAAUCUCCAAAAAUUGUCCCAGUUCAGAUUGCAGGCUGCAACUCGCCUGCAUGAAGUCGGAAUUGCUAGUAAUCGUGGAUCAGCAUGCCACGGUGAAUACGUUCCCGGGCCUUGUACACACCGCCCGUCACACCAUGGGAGUCGGUAACACCCGAAGCCUGUAGUCUAACCGCAAGGAGGACGCAGUCGAAGGUGGGAUUGAUGACUGGGGUGAAGUCGUAACAAGGUAGC